GUCCCUGUGAGCCAAGAAGGCCUCCUUUCGCUGUUAAUGAGUGAAUGCGGUCCCUAGUUCACUAUCCCAGGCCUUGAUAAAGUUUGUUUCCCUUGAAUUAUCAUGAGAUAGUAGGUGAUUGUAAGUGGUGGGUAAAAUUUUUCCAGGAGGGGUAACCGACAUACACAUCUGUUCAAACUGAGAGAUAAGGUGAGUGGGGUCGGAUCUCAG